CUCUGUUGUGCCCUAACAGUAUAACUUGCGACGAGUACUUUUUCUCAUUCUAUCGAACAAAAAGUAAAACCUAAUUAUAUAGUUCUAUUAUGCCCUGCGAGUGUAAAGUUUGAACGAAUCUUCAACGUUCACAAAAACCAAAAUCGGAACAACAUUAGACUACUCAGUAGCGCCCUAACAGUAUAACUUUGCAACGAGUACUUUUUCUCAUUCUAUCGAACAAAGAGUAAAACCUAAUUAUUUUGCUCUAUUAUGCCUCGAUAGUGUAAAUUUGAAACGAAUCGAUGUCAACGUUCACAAGUACCAAAACCGGAACAACAUUAGACUACUCAGUUGCGCCCUAACAGUAUAACUUUGCAACGAGUACUUUUUCUCAUUCUAUCGAGCAAAUAGUAAAAACUAAUUAUAUUGUUCUAUUAUGCCUCGAGAGUGUAAAUUUGAAACGAAUCGAUGUCAACGUUCACAAGAACCAAAACCGGAACAACGUUAGACUACUCAGUUGAGCCCUAACAAUAUAACUUUGCAACUAGUACUUUUUCUCAUUCAAUCGAACAAAGAGCAAAACCUAAUUAUAUUGUUCUAUUAUGCCCCGAGAGUGUAAAUUUGGAACGAAUCGAUGUCAACGUUCACAAGAACCAAAACCGGAACAACAUUAGGCUACUCAGUUGCGCCCUAACAGUAUAACUUUGCAACGAGUACUUUUUCUCAUUCAAUCGAAUAAAGAGCAAAACGUAAUUAUAUAGUCCUAUUAUGCCCCGAGAGUGUAAAUUUGAAACGAAUCGAUGUCAACGUUCACAAGAACCAAAUCCGAAACAAUGUUAGACUACUCAGUUGAGCCCUAACUGUAUUAUUUUGCAACUAGUACUUUUUAUCAUUCUAUCGAACAAAGAGUAAAACCUAAUUAAAUUGUUCUAUUAUGCCCCGAGAGUGUAAAUUUGGAACGAAUCGCUGUNNNN
rnacentral:lncRNA from 1 species